AUUGAACGCUGGCGGCAUGCCUUACACAUGCAAGUCGAACGGUAACGGGCCUUCGGGUGCCGACGAGUGGCGAACGGGUGAGUAAUGCAUCGGAACGUACCUUUCAGUGGGGGAUAACGUAGCGAAAGUUACGCUAAUACCGCAUAUUCUGUGAGCAGGAAAGCAGGGGAUCGCAAGACCUUGCGCUGAUUGAGCGGCCGAUGUCAGAUUAGCUAGUUGGUGAGGUAAAGGCUCACCAAGGCGACGAUCUGUAGCGGGUCUGAGAGGAUGAUCCGCCACACUGGAACUGAGACACGGUCCAGACUCCUACGGAGGCAGCAGUGGGGAAUUUUGGACAAUGGGGGCAACCCUGAUCCAGCCAUGCCGCGUGAGUGAAGAAGGCC
rnacentral:rRNA from 1 species